UCUGACGAUCAAAAAACCUGCAGGAGAAGCAGUGGAAGGGCCCUGGGCCCCAGCAGCCUACGUCUGAGCACAGGGGGUCACAAACAUGCUUGGCAGCAGCUGAGAGAGAAAGAGGGACAAGAAAAGACAUGAAUGUCAAGCUCCCACAGACACUGAAGUGAACAAGUGCUUUUUCACCUGAUCACAAACACAGAGCGAUGACAUAGGACCCUUCCUCCUUUUUCUCCAACGUUCCACCUCUGGGGCUGCAGCUUGAAAUGAACUUACGUGGACAUUCCUUCACACAAGUGGCUCCAAAGCUGUAUUUUCCUUCAGGGUUCACAUCCAUCUGCUUUCCAGAUGAGAGAGAGUAACUGUCUUCCCUGUAAGCCAGUAAGGGGAUCAUAGCAAUCUUAAAAGGAAACCAGGAAAAGAGGCAACAACAGUAAAAUCCAGGUCAGAUGA